AUUGAGCGCUGGCGGCAUGCUUUACACAUGCAAGUCGAACGGCAGCGCGGGCUUCGGCCUGGCGGCGAGUGGCGAACGGGUGAGUAAUGCAUCGGAACGUGCCCAGUAGUGGGGGAUAGCCCGGCGAAAGCCGGAUUAAUACCGCAUACGACCUGAGGGUGAAAGCGGGGGACCGAAAGGCCUCGCGCUAUUGGAGCGGCCGAUGUCGGAUUAGCUAGUUGGUGGGGUAAAGGCUUACCAAGGCGACGAUCCGUAGCUGGUCAGAGAGGACGACCAGCCACACUGGGACUGAGACACGGCCCAGACUCCUACGGGAGGCAGUAGUGGGGAAUUUUGGACAAUGGGGGCAACCCUGAUCCAGCCAUGCCGCGUGCGGGAAGAAGGCCUUCGGGUUGUAAACCGCUUUUGUUCGGGAAGAAAUCCUCUGGGCUAAUACCCCGGGGGGAUGACGGUACCGGAAGAAUAAGCACCGGCUAACUACGUG
rnacentral:rRNA from 1 species